GACGUAGGGCGCAAGCGUUUGGUCCGGAAUUAUUGGCGUAAAGAGCUCGUAGGCGGCUUGUUGCGUCGACUGUGAAAACCCGUGGCUCAACCAUGUGGUCUGCAGUCGAUACGGGCAGGCUAGAAUUCGGUAGGGGAGACUGGAAUUCCUGGUGUAGCGGUGAAAUGCGCGAUAUCAGGAGGAACACCGGUGGCGAAAGGCGGGGUCUCUGGGGC
rnacentral:rRNA from 1 species